rnacentral:rRNA from 1 species
GUGAGUGAAGAAGGCCUUCGGGUCGUAAAGCUCUUUUAUGGGGGAAGAUGAUGACGGUACCCCAUGAAUAAGCACCGGCUAACUACGUGCCAGCAGCCGCGGUAAUACGUAGGGUGCGAGCGUUGUUCGGAAUUACUGGGCGUAAAGGGCGUGCAGGCGGAUUGGCAAGCCGGAGGUGAAAGCCCGGGGCUCAACCCCGGAGGGUCUUUCGGAACUGCCAGUCUUGAGAGGGUCAGGGGCCAGCGGAAUUCCUGGUGUAGAGGUGAAAUUCGUAGAGAUCAGGAGGAACACCGGCGGCGAAAGCGGCUGGCUGGGGCCACUCUGACGCUGAGGCGCGAAAGCGUGGGGAGCAAACAGGAUUAGAUACCCUGGUAGUCCACGCCGUAAACGAUGGGCACUAAGCGUCCGACGGGUUCGACCCUGUUGGGUGCUGCAGUUAACGCGUUAAGUGCCCCGCCUGGGGAGUACGGUCGCAAGACUAAAACUCAAAGGAAUUGACG